rnacentral:misc_RNA from 1 species
UCCUACUUAACGUAGGCAGUCUCCUAAGAAAUAUAUAACUUAGGAUAGGGGUUUCGCUCGUUCACGGACUUAACCGAACACCUCAAGGCACGAGCUGACGACAACCAUGCAGCACCUGUCACCGAGUUCCCGAAGGCACCUUCCUCUUUCGAGGACAUUCUCGGGAUGUCAAGUCUGGGUGAGGUUCCUCGCUUAUUAUCGAAUUAAACAACAUGCUCCACCGCUUGUGUGGGUCCCCGUCUAUUCCUUUGAGUUUUAAUCUUGCGACCGUACUCCCCAGGCGGAACACUUAACGCGUUAGCUACGACACUGAGGGGAUCGAUACCCCCAACAUCUAGUGUUCAUCGUUUACAGCGUGGACUAC